UACGUAGGUCGCAAGCGUUGUCCGGAUUUACUGGGCGUAAAGAGCGCGCAGGCGGCUGGUCAAGUCCGAUGUGAAAUCUCCCGGCUCAACUGGGAAACUGCAUCGGAAACUGAUCGGCUUGAAGAUGGGAGAGGGUAGUGGAAUUCCCGGUGUAGUGGUGAGAUGCGUAGAGAUCCGGAGGAACACCAGUGGCGAAGGCGACACGCUGGGCCGUACCUGACACUGAGGCGCGAUAGCAUGGGGAGCAAACAGG
rnacentral:rRNA from 1 species